rnacentral:rRNA from 1 species
AGCGAACGUUUGCGGCGGGCUUAACACAUGCAAGUCGAACGAGAAUCCCUUCGGGGAGGAAAGUGGCGCACGGGUGCGUAACACGUGGAUAACCAACCCAUUGGUUUGGGACAACACCGGGAAACUGGUGCUAAUACCAGAUGUGUCGCAGCUGUCUUCAGGCGGUUGCGAGAAAGGCCCGCAAGGGUCGCCAACGGACGGGUCCGCGUCCCAUCAGCUAGUUGGUGAGGUAAUGGCUCACCAAGGCAAAGACGGGUAGCUGGUCUGAGAGGAUGAUCAGCCACACUGGAACUGAGACACGGUCCAGACUCCUACGGGAGGCAGCAGUGGGGAAUAUUGCGCAAUGGGCUAAAGCCUGACGCAGCCACGCCGCGUGAGCGAUGAAGGUCUUCGGAGUCGUAAAGACUCUGUGGGGGGAGGAAGAAGAAAGACCGGUCGGAAGAAGCCGGCCCGUCGACGGUA